GAACCGCGUGAAGGAUCAUUAACGAGAGGGGUUUUCGGACCCCGGGGCUUCGGCCCCUAACUCUUCACCCUCUGUUCACGUACCAUUGUUGCUUUGGCGGGCCCUGGGGCGUGCCCCUGGCCGGCCGGUGGCCUAGCGGCCCCGGCUCGCUCGUGCCCGUCAGAGGCCCAUGAAACCCCACCUUAUCUUUGUCGUCCGAGCAAAAACACAAUCGUAAAAACUUUCAACAACGGAUCUCUUGGUUCUGGCAUCGAUGAAGAACGCAGCGAAAUGCGAUAAGUAAUGUGAAUUGCAGAAUUCAGUGAAUCAUCGAAUCUUUGAACGCACAUUGCGCCCCUCGGUAUUCCGGGGGGCAUGCCUGUUCGAGCGUCAUUACACCCCUCAAGCUUCGCUUGGUAUUGGGUCUUCGCUCUUCGGGGCGGGCCCGAAAGUUAGUGGCGGCCCGGCGUGACUUCGAGCGUAGUAAUCUUUCUCCCGCUUUGGAAGCUCGCGCUGUGACCGGCCAGAACGCCCAAAUUUUUCAAUGAUUGACCUCGGAUCAGGUAGGGAUACCCGCUGAACUUAA
rnacentral:rRNA from 1 species